CCUACGAGGGGCAGCCGUGAGGAAUAUUGGUCAAUGGACGCAAGUCUGAAGCAGCCAUGCCGCGUGCAGGAAGACGGCUCUAUGAGUUGUAAACUGCUUUUGUACGAGGGUAAACGCAGAUACGUGUAUCUGUCUGAAAGUAUCGUACGAAUAAGGAUCGGCUAACUCCGUGCCAGCAGCCGCGGUAAUACGGAGGAUUCAAGCGUUAUCCGGAUUUAUUGGGUUUAAAGGGUGCGUAGGCGGUCGGAUAAGUUAGAGGUGAAAUCCCGAGGCUCAACUUCGGAAUCGCCUCUGAUACUGUUCGGCUAGAGAGUAGUUGCGGUAGGCGGAAUGUAUGGUGUAGCGGUGAAAUGCUUAGAGAUCAUACAGAACCCCGAUUGCGAAGGCAGCUUACCAAGCUACUUCUGACGUUGAGGCACGAAAGCGUGGGGAGCAAACAGGAUUAGAUACCCCAGUAGUC
rnacentral:rRNA from 1 species